UCGAACGGCAGCACGGACUUCGGUCUGGUGGCGAGUGGCGGACGGGUGAGUAUGUAUCGGAACGUGCCUAGUAGCGGGGGAUAACUACGCGAAAGCGUAGCUAAUACCGCAUACGCCCUACGGGGGAAAGCAGGGACGCAAGACCUUGCACUAUUAGAGCGGCCGAUAUCGGAUUAGCUAGUUGGUGGGGUAACGGCUCACCAAGGCGACGAUCCGUAGCUGGUUUGAGAGGACGACCAGCCACACUGGGACUGAGACACGGCCCAGACUCCUACGGGAGGCAGCAGUGGGGAAUUUUGGACAAUGGGGGAAACCCUGAUCCAGCCAUCCCGCGUGUGCGAUGAAGGCCUUCGGGUUGUAAAGCACUUUUGGCAGGAAAGAAACGUCAUGGGCUAAUACCCCGUGAAACUGACGGUACCUGCAGAAUAAGCACCGGCUAACUACGUGCCAGCAGCCGCGGUAAUACGUAGGGUGCAAGCGUUAAUCGGAAUUACUGGGCGUAAAGCGUGCGCAGGCGGUUCGGAAAGAAAGAUGUGAAAUUCCCAGAGCUUAACUUUGGAACUGCAUUUUUAA
rnacentral:rRNA from 1 species